rnacentral:rRNA from 1 species
UACAGAGGGUGCAAGCGUUAAUCGGAAUUACUGGGCGUAAAGCGCGCGUAGGCGGCUGUCUAAGUCGGAUGUGAAAUCCCCGGGCUUAACCUGGGAACUGCAUUCGAUACUGGGCGGCUAGAGUAUGAGAGAGGGAGGUAGAAUUCCCGGUGUAGCGGUGAAAUGCGCAGAUAUCGGGAAGAACACCCGUGGCGAAGGCGGCUACUCUGGGACGGUACUGACGCUGAGACGCGAAAGCGUGGGGAGCGAACAGG